rnacentral:rRNA from 1 species
AUGCCAUGCACAAGAUAUACACACACUAAUAGAGAAGUACAAGCUCUGCAACCAGUGCAACUGUGCAAGUAUAAGCUUAUACUCAUAUUACACAUGACUGCUAGCAAGCCUGCCACUGCUGCCGCUGCUGGUCCUCAUAAGCUGGAGAUGGGCGCCUUCCAACCCUGCGUGUGGGGUGACUUCUUCGUCACCUACAACCCUCCCCUCUCGCAGAGCUCGGAGAUGACGAUGCAAGAGAGGGUGGAACAACUCAAGGUCCAAGUGCGCGCCCUGUUAGAGGACAACAAGAACAGGAGUGUGGCUGAUGUUGUGACACUCGUGGAAAUGCUCGAGCGGCUUGGCAUCGGCAACCACUUCCGUGGGGAGAUUGGCACGGCACUAAGGCACGUGCUAAACGAGGAGCCGGAGUUUCCAGCUAGCUCUGACGACCUCCACAUCGCCGCUCUUCGGUUUCGCCUACUUAGGCAGCAUGGGCUCUGGGUAUCUGCUGACAUAUUUGACAAGUUCAAAGAUGAGACAGGAAAUUUCAGCACAAGCCUAUGCAGUGACCCAGUGAGCCUUCUGAGCCUUUACAAUGCAGCGCACCUGGCAACACCUAGUGAGGAUGCACUAAGUGACGCAAUCGUCUUUUCGAGGUACCACCUCGAGGCAAUGAGAAACAAGCUUAGGCCACCAAUGGCAGAACAAGUCUCAUGUGCCCUCGACAUUCCUCUCCCACGGACCGUCAGGCAGUUGGAAACAAUGCAUUAUAUAAAGGAGUAUGAGCAGGACGAGUCUAACAAUGGCCCGCUCUUGGAGCUCUCCCGGCUUGACUUUGAAUUGGUCAGGUCCCUUCACCUCAAGGAGCUUAGGGAUCUAUCUUUGUGGUGGAGAGAUCUUUAUGACAAUGUGAAGCUAAGCUAUGCCCGGGAUCGUCUAGUGGAGAACUAUUUCUGGACAUGUAGCGUGUUCCAUGAGGAGGAGUACUCCCGCGCACGACUAAUGUUUGCAAAGACGUUCGGUCUGCUAUCCCUGAUGGAUGACACCUAUGAUGUCCACGCGACCCUGGAGGAUUGCUAUAAACUCAAUGAAGCUAUACAAAGAUGGGACCGAAGAGCGGUGUCUAUUCUACCUAAAUACCUGCAUAUGUUUUACAUCAGAUUGUUGGCUAACUUCAGAGAGUUUGAGGAUACGUUGGGACCACAUGAGAAAUACCGUGUAUCUUACGCAAAGACAGCGUUUCAGUCAUCGUCUGAAUAUUACCUCUGUGAGGCCAAAUGGUCCAACGAAAAGUAUGCCCCGAGCUUCAAGGAGCACCUAGAGGUUUCACGUAUGUCGUCAGGCUUCCCCACACUGGCCCUUGUGCUACUCAUGGGUGUGGACAACACAGCAACCAAUGAGGCAUUUGACUGGGCAGCCGAUGUCCCAGACAUUGUCUGCGCAAGCGGAGUGAUCGCUCACUUUCUCAACGACAUUGCUUCUUACAAGUUGGGAAAGACCAAGAAGGAUGUGGCUAGCUCUGUGGAGUGCUACAUGAAGGAGAACCUCGUAGGGGGGCAGGAGGCUAUCGUGGCAAUCUCGGCGUUGGCCGAAGAUGCGUGGAGGAUGAUCAACCGAGCAUGUAUGGAGAUAGAACCCGCACUGUUGCCAGCGGCACAAUUGGUGGUGAACCUGACAAGGACGUUGGAGGUUAUAUACCUUGGUGGCAGGGACGGCUACACAUUUGGUGGUGACCUCAAGGGUCUCAUCGCCGCGCUCUUUCUCAAGCCCAUAUAUGUCGUUUAA